GACGAACCGUGCGAACGUUGUUCGGAAUCACUGGGCUUAAAGGGCGCGUAGGCGGCUUGCCAAGUCAGGGGUGAAAUCCUGCAGCUCAACUGUAGAAGUGCCUUUGAUACUGGCGAGCUCGAGGGAGGUAGGGGUGCGCGGAACUUCUGGUGGAGCGGUGAAAUGCGUUGAUAUCAGAAGGAACGCCGGUGGCGAAAGCGGCGCACUGGAUCUCUACUGACGCUGAGGCGCGAAAGCCAGGGGAGCAAACGGGAUUAGAAACCCCCGUAGUCC
rnacentral:rRNA from 1 species